rnacentral:pre_miRNA from 1 species
GUGUGACCCAUGGGCUUCCCUUUGUCAUCCUAUGCCUGAGAAUACUGGAGAGGCAGGGACAGCAAAGGGAUGCUCAGAAUUCACCCAC